rnacentral:rRNA from 1 species
AUACGUAGGGGGCGAGCGUUGUCCGGAUUUAUUGGGCGUAAAGGGUGCGUAGGCGGCCUUGUAAGUCAGAUGUGAAAGAUCAUGGCUUAACUGUGGUAAGCAUUUGAAACUGCAGGGCUUGAGUACAGGAGAGGAGAGUGGAAUUCCUAAUGUAGCGGUGAAGUUCGUAGGUAUUAGGAGGAAUACCAGUGGCGAAGGCGACACUCUGGACUGAUGCAGACGCUGAGGCACGAAAGCGUGGGGAGCACCCAGGAUUAGAUACCCCGGUAGUCCUCGCGCUAAACGAUGAGCGCCAGGUGUAGGGGGCCACCCCCGGGUGCCGCAGUUAAAAUAUUAAGCACCACGGCUGGGGAGUAAGGCCGCAAGGCUGAAACUCAAAGAAGUUUAGGGGG